rnacentral:rRNA from 1 species
GUCCACGCUGUAAACGAUGGAUACUAGACGUGGUGGGUCUUGACCCCUGCCGUGUCGAAGUUAACACGAUAAGUAUCCCGCCUGGGGAGUACGGUCGCAAGACUAAAACUCAAAGGAAUUGACGGGGGCCCGCACAAGCGGUGGAUCAUGUGGUUUAAUUCGAAGCAACGCGAAGAACCUUACCUGGGCUUGACAUCCCAAUGAAUAUUUUUAGAGAUAGAAAUAGGCUCGCAAGAGACAUUGGAGACAGGUGCUGCAUGGCUGUCGU